AGUGAACGCUGGCGGUAGGCCUAACACAUGCAAGUCGAACGGCAGCACAGUAAGAGCUUGCUCUUACGGGUGGCGAGUGGCGGACGGGUGAGGAAUACAUCGGACUCUACUUUUUCGUGGGGGUUAACGUAGGGAAACUUACGCUAAUACCGCAUACGACCUACGGGUGAAAGCAUGGGAUCUUCGGACCUUGCGCGAUUGAAUGCGCCGAUGUCGGAUUAGCUAGUUGGCGGGGUAAAGGCCCACCAAGGCGACGAUCCGUAGCUGGUCUGAGAGGAUGAUCAGCCACACUGGAACUGAGACACGGUCCAGACUCCUACGGGAGGCAGCAGUGGGGAAUAUUGGACAAUGGGCGCAAGCCUGAUCCAGCCAUACCGCGUGUGUGAAGAAGGCCUUCGGGUUGUAAAGCCCUUUUUUUGGGAAAGAAAAGCAGCAGGUUAAUACCCCGCUGUUCUGACGGUACCCAAAGAAUAAGCACCGGCUAACUUCGUG
rnacentral:rRNA from 1 species